AGUGGCGAACGGGUGAGUAACACGUGGGUGAUCUGCCCUGUACUUUGGGAUAAGCCUGGGAAACUGGGUCUAAUACCGAAUAUGACCACUUCUUGGAUGGGGUGGUGGAAAGCUUUUGCGGUAUGGGAUGAGCUCGCGGCCUAUCAGCUUGUUGGUGGGGUAAUGGCCUACCAAGGCGUCGACGGGUAGCCGGCCUGAGAGGGUGUACGGCCACAUUGGGACUGAGAUACGGCCCAGACUCCUACGGGAGGCAGCAGUGGGGAAUAUUGCACAAUGGGCGCAAGCCUGAUGCAGCGACGCCGCGUGGGGGAUGACGGCCUUCGGGUUGUAAACUCCUUUCGCAACCGACGAAGCUUUUGUGACGGUAGGUUGAGAAGAAGCACCGGCUAACUACGUGCCAGCAGCCGCGGUAAUACGUAGGGUGCGAGCGUUGUCCGGAAUUACUGGGCGUAAAGAGCUCGUAGGUGGUUUGUCGCGUCGUUUGUGGAAUACCGCAGCUUAACUGCGGGGUUGCAGGCGAUACGGGCAUAACUUGAGUGCUGUAGGGGAGACUGGAAUUCCUGGUGUAGCGGUGGAAUGCGCAGAUAUCAGGAGGAACACCGAUGGCGAAGGCAG
rnacentral:rRNA from 1 species